rnacentral:rRNA from 1 species
UACAGAGGGUGCAAGCGUUGUCCGGAAUUAUUGGGCGUAAAGGGCUCGUAGGCGGUCCAUCGCGUCGGGAGUGAAAAGCUGGGGCUCAACCCCAGUCCUGCUUCCGAUACGGGUGGACUAGAGGUAUGCAGGGGAGAACGGAAUUCCUGGUGUAGCGGUGAAAUGCGCAGAUAUCAGGAAGAACACCCCGUGGCGAAGGCGGCUCUCUGGGACGGUACUGACGCUGAGACGCGAAAGCGUUGGGGAGCAAACAGG